rnacentral:lncRNA from 1 species
GAAAAUCAAUAUCUAUUUCUAUACUUUCUUAAAAAUAAAUAAUGUAUUUUUAUUCCUUAAUUACCACUCUUUUAGAAGGAAAUGUUUUACUACAAAAUAUAUUCACAGAAAGAGUCCAUUCUCAGGAGGCUAAGGCAGGAUAACUGUCAUGCAUUCGAGGCCAGCCUGGGCUACAGAGUGCUACACCAGCCAGGCCUAUAUUGCAAGAACCAUUUGUAAAAGCAAAGACCAAGCUGGGUGUGCUGGCGCACGCCUUUAAUCCCAGCACUCGGGAGGCAGAGGCAGGUGGAUUUCUGAGUUCGAGGCCAGCCUGGUCUACAGAGUGAGUUCCAGGACAGCCAGGGAAAAAAAAAAAAAAAAAAAGAGAGAAGUCAAAUAUCAUCAGGAACACCCUGAAAAUGGUAAGGCCUCGAAGAUUACAAAGCAAAGGUCGGGGCUGGAGAGAUGGCUCAGUGGCUAAGAGCAAUGACUGCUCUUCCAAAGGUCCUAAGUUCAAAUCCCAGCAACCACAUGGUGGCUCACAACCAUCUGUAAUGAGAUCUAACGCCCUCUUCUGGAGUGUCUGUAUACACUACAGUGUACUCACAUACUUUAUUUAUUAAUAAAGUAAAUCUUUAAAGUCUACACAGCAAUCCCAGGAAGGAGACAGUACUGCCAUCAUUCUCAUUUACAGAUGAGGAGACUGAGACAGAGAGAGGAAUUCGAUCUCUCGUGCAAGAUCACCCAGCUAGCAAUGGUGCAUAGGGAAAGGGGUGUAACUAAGUCCAGGAACAGAAACUGCUUUCUAGCUACCAAACUCUCCUGCUUUAAAAGAGUAACUCAUUCUAUACUAAAAUAAUGAGAAAAUAAUAAUGAAAACAUUUUUUAGUCCUUGAAAUUUAAAAACUUAAACAGGCUCCUGAGUUGCUACAGUUACAUGGUUUGAAAGUGGUCUGUCCCUUAAGUCUUCAUGCUUUGGAGGUUUGGUGCCCAGGGCGGCAGUGUUGGUGAUGGUGUGGAACUGUGAAGAAGUGGGGCCCUGGGAGGGAAUGCUGGUUUCCUGUGGUGCACUCUUAAGGGAGCCAGUAGUUACAGAAGCCUGAGCUAUAUACACGACUUUCUUUGGCUUCCUGUUUAACGACAUUUCCCUAUAUAACCUGUGGUAAUGCCGUCAAGUGUCACACUGCUUUGCCAGUUGCCAAUGGAAUGGGCCUGUCCAAUCGUGACUUCUGAUCUCUAAAAUUAUGAGCCAAAAUAAAAAUAAGACUUUUUUCUUUAUAAAACUGGCCUCAUUACGAUAAAUCACUGCAGUGCUCUAAAAGCAGCUAAUACAGAACUGAAGGAACCAUGUCUAAGAUACCAUGUUCUGCAGAGCCUCACUUACAGUCCACACAAUAGCA